AUGUCAGUGUGUCUGUGUGUCUUUAUGUCAGUGUGUCUGUGUGUCUGUAUGUCAGUGUGUCUUUAUGUCAGUGUGUCUGUAUGUCAGUGUGUCAGUGUGUCUGUGUGUCUUUAUGUCAGUGUGUCUGUGUGUCUUUAUGUCAGUGUGUCUGUGUGUCUGUAUGUCAGUGUGUCUGUGUGUCUGUAUGUCAGUGUGUCUUUAUGUCAGUGUGUCUGUAUGUCAGUGUGUCAGUGUGUCUGUGUGUCUUUAUGUCAGUGUGUCUGUGUGUCUGUAUGUCAGUGUGUCUGUGUGUCUGUAUGUCAGUGUGUCUGUGUGUCUUUAUGUCAGUGUGUCUGUAUGUCUUUAUGCCAGUGUGUCUGUAUGUCAGUGUGUCUGUGUGUCUUUAUGCCAGUGUGUCUGUAUGUCAGUGUUUCUGUGUGUCUUUAUGUCAGUGUGUCUGUGUGUCUUUAUGCCAGUGUGUCUGUAUGUCAGUGUUUCUGUGUGUCUUUAUGUCAGUGUGUCUGUGUGUCUUUAUGCCAGUGUGUCUGUAUGUCAGUGUGUCUGUGUGUCUUUAUGCCAGUGUGUCUGUAUGCCAGUGUGUCUGUAUGUCAGUGUUUCUGUGUGUCUUUAUGUCAGUGUGUCUGUGUGUCUGUAUGUCAGUGUGUCUGUAUGUCAGUGUUUCUGUGUGUCUUUAUGCCCGUGUGUCUGUAUGUCAGUGUGUCUGUGUGUCUUUAUGCCAGUGUGUCUGUAUGUCAGUGUUUCUGUGUGUCUUUAUGCCCGUGUGUCUGUAUGUCAGUGUGUCUGUGUGUCUUUAUGCCAGUGUGUCUGUAUGUCAGUGUUUCUGUGUGUCUUUAUGUCAGUGUGUCUGUAUGUCAGUGUUUCUGUGUAUCUUUAUGCCCGUGUGUCUGUAUGUCAGUGUGUCUGUGUGUCUUUAUGCCAGUGUGUCUGUAUGUCAGUGUGUCUGUGUGUCUUUAUGCCCGUGUGUCUGUAUGUCAGUGUGUCUGUAUGUCUUUAUGCCAGUGUGUCAGCAUUUUAGCCUACGGAGCUGAGAGCAAUGAUAUGUUAAGAGUCCUCUGUCUAACUGUCCUGUGUAACAGAUACUAUUUUACACAGCCGGAAACAUUGUGA
rnacentral:lncRNA from 1 species